UCACAAGGUGAGGUCCCAGAUGGAUGUGAAUUUGUGGGACACUAUUCAACCUACUACAUAUGGCAUAAUAAUAUAUUAGAGAGCUUUAUAGCUUUCAAAACAUUUUUAAGAAAUGAAAUAACACAGAAAGGCAUGCAGUCACCUUUUUCCAGGAUGCUGUGAAGAACUCUGAGCUUACUGAAUGAGGACUGUGGCCUCUGAGAUCCCUGAUUCUACGUAAUCCAGAUAAGAAGUAUCUCAAGGCUCCCAAAGAGACUACAAUAUCAUCGUGGUGCACGACAAGAGGCAGAAGGAUGGAAAAAGAUGUCUUUCAUCUCGGGAUGGUUAGUCGUCUAUGAAAGGGCAGAGAAAGGAUGAGAACAGGAUGCUUCAACCACUGUUACAUCCUCUUCAGCAGUAAUUGCUGGGGCCGAGUCUUACCUGAAAACACCCAAAGGUAACACCACAGCGAGAACUUUUUCCUUGUGAAGUCCAAUUUAGCCUACGUGAAAAACAUCCUGAUGUCUUUAUUUAAGAUUGCUUAUUUUGUCUGUUUAUUUUACAACCUGCCAAACAAUAACCAUGGCCUUAUCAGGCUAAAGAAUGUGCAGCUCUUUCCUGAUCUGUGCUUUAUGUAUUUGUUUUGUCAUAAUAAAAUUCCCCACACUAAAUAACAAUGUUUGUUUGAAAGCUGCCUUGCCAUCCAUCUAGGUCCUAGAUAAAUAACAUGAUGCUCACAGAGUUUCUCUCUAAACACAAGCUACUUCCAAAAUAAAACUGAUAUUUUAUUAAUAUAUUUCAGUUUUUCCCACCAGCAAGAU